AUUGAACGCUGGCGGCAGGCCUAACACAUGCAAGUCGAGCGAGCGGCGGAGGGGUGAGUAAUGUCUGGGAAACUGCCUGAUGGCGGGGGAUAACUACUGGAAACGGUAGCUAAUACCGCAUACCAUCAGAUGUGGCCAGGUGGGAUGAGCUGGUGGGUGGGGUAACGGCUCACCUAGGCGACGAUCCCUAGCCGGUCUGAGAGGAUGACCAGCCACACUGGAACUGAGACACGGUCCAGACUCCUACGGGAGGCAGCAGUGGGGAAUAUUGCACAAUGGGCGCAAGCCUGAUGCAGCCAUGCCGCGUGUGUGAAGAAGGCCUUCGGGUUGUAAAGCACUUUCAGCGGAGAGGCGUUACCCGCAGAAGAAGCACCGGCUAACUCCGUGCCAGCAGCCGCGGUAAUAC
rnacentral:rRNA from 1 species